UACGGAGGGUGCGAGCGUUGUCCGGAAUCACUGGGCGUAAAGGGCGCGUAGGCGGCCUGAUAAGUAGGGGGUGAAAUCCUGCGGCUUAACCGCAGGGCUGCCUUCUAAACUGUCAGGCUAGAGCACGGUAGAGGCAGAUGGAAUUCCCGGUGUAGCGGUGGAAUGCGUAGAGAUCGGGAAGAACAUCAGUGGCGAAGGCGGUCUGCUGGGCCGUUGCUGACGCUGAGGCGCGACAGCGUGGGGAGCAACAGG
rnacentral:rRNA from 1 species